CAGUAGCGCGGUGGUCCCACCUGACCCCAUGCCGAACUCAGAAGUGAAACGCCGUAGCGCCGAUGGUAGUGUGGGGUCUCCCCAUGCGAGAGUAGGGAACUGCCAGAC
rnacentral:rRNA from 6 species